CGUUUAGGAGCGAAAGAGUGGAGAUCGAACAGGAUUAGAUACCCAGGUAGUCCAAACUGUAAACGAUGAGUGCUAAGAAAUAGGGGGUUUCCGCCCCCUUAGUGCUGCAGCUUUGUCUUUUUAGCAGUCCACUUGGGGAGUACGGUCGCAAGAAUGAAACUCAAAGGAAUUAACGGGGGCCCGCACAAGCGGUGGAGCAUGUUGUUUAAUUUGAAGCAACGCGAAGAACCUUACCAGGUCUUUACAUCCUCUGACAAUCCUAGAGAUAGGACGUCCCCUUCGGGGGCAGAGUGACCGGUGGUGCAUGGUUGUCGUCAGCUCGUGUCGUGAGAUGUUGGGUUAAGUCCCGCAACGAGCGCAACCCUUGAUCUUAGUUGCCAGCAUUCAGUUGGGCACUUUAAGGUGACUGCCGGUGACAAACCGGAGGAAGGUGGGGAUGACGUCAAAUCAUCAUGCCCCUUAUGACCUGGGCUACACACGUGCUACAAUGGACAGAACAAAGGGCAGCGAAACCGCGAGGUUAAGCCAAUCCCACAAAUCUGUUCUCAGUUCGGAUCGCAGUCUGCAACUCGACUGCGUGAAGCUGGAAUCGCUAGUAAUCGCGGAUCAGCAUGCCGCGGUGAAUACGUUCCCGGGCCUUGUACACACCGCCCGUCACACCACGAGAGUUUGUAACACCCGAAGUCGGUGAGGUAACCUUUAUGGAGCCAGCCGCCGAAGGUGGGACAGAUGAUUGGGGUGAAGUCGUAACAAGGUAGCCGUAUCGGANAGG
rnacentral:rRNA from 1 species